rnacentral:rRNA from 1 species
AUCGAUGAAGAACGCAGCGAAAUGCGAUAAGUAAUGUGAAUUGCAGAAUUCAGUGAAUCAUCGAAUCUUUGAACGCACAUUGCGCCCGCCAGUAUUCUGGCGGGCAUGCCUGUCUGAGCGUCAUUUCAACCCUCAAGCAACUUCUGCUUGGUGUUGGGGAUCGGCCGUCAAACGCCGCCCCCGAAAUCUAUUGGCGAUCUCGCUGUAGCUUCCUAUGCGUAGUAGUAACAUCUCGCAUCUGGAGAGCGGCGCGGUCAUGCCGUAAAACACCCAACUUUUCAGGUUGACCUCAGAUCAGGUAGGAAUACCCGCUGAACUUAAGCAUAUCAAUAAGCGGAGGAAAAGAAACCAACAGGGAUUGCCCCAGUAACGGCGAGUGAAGCGGCAACAGCUCAAAUUUGAAAUCUGGCCCUAGGCCCGAGUUGUAAUUUGUAGAGGAUGUUUCUGACGAGGUACCUUCCGAGUUCCCUGGAACGGGACGCCAUAGAGGGUGAGAGCCCCGUACGGUUGGUCGCCAAGUCUCUGUGAAACUCCUUCGACGAGUCGAGUAGUUUGGGAAUGCUGCUCUAAAUGGGAGGUAUACGUCUUCUAAAGCUAAAUAUAGGCCAGAGACCGAUAGCGCACAAGUAGAGUGAUCGAAAGAUGAAAAGCACUUUGAAAAGAGGGUUAAAUAGUACGUGAAAUUGUUGAAAGGGAAGCGCUUGCAAUCAGACUUGCCUUCAGCUUAUCAUCCGGUGUUCUCACCGGUGCACUAGGUUGUUGUCAGGCCAGCAUCGGUUUUGGCGGCUGGAUAAAGGCCUUGGGAAUGUGGCCCCUCUCGGGGGGUGUUAUAGCCCAGGGUGUAAUGCAGCCAGCUGGGACCGAGGACCGCGCUUCGGCUAGGAUGCUGGCGUAAUGGUUGUAAGCGACCCGUCUUGAAACACGG